AUUGAACGCUGGCGGCAUGCCUUACACAUGCAAGUCGAACGGUAACGGGCCUUCGGGUGCCGCCGAGUGGCGAACGGGUGGGUAAUACAUCGGAACGUGCCCGAUCGUGGGGGAUAACGAGGCGAAAGCUUUGCUAAUACCGCAUACGAUCUACGGAUGAAAGCAGGGGACCGCAAGGCCUUGCGCGGACGGAGCGGCUGAUGGCAGAUUAGGUCGAUGGUGGGAUAAAAGCUUUCCCAGCCGACGAUCUGUAGCUGGUCUGAGAGGAUGAUCAGCCACACUGGGACUGAGACACGGCCCCGACUCCUGGGGGGAGACGCAGUGGGGAAUUUUGGGCGAUGGGGGCAAGGCUGAUCCAGGCCAGCCGGCGGAAGGAUGAAGGACUUCGGGUUGGUAAGUGCUUUUGGACGGAAGGAAAAGCCUUCCUUUUAUACAGGAGGGUCAUGACGGUACCGUAAGAAUAAGCACCGGCUAACUACGUG
rnacentral:rRNA from 1 species